GCUGGGGCUCAGUGGUAGAGCACUUGCCUAGCAUGUGUGAGGCCCUGGGUUCAAUUCUCAGCACUGCA
rnacentral:tRNA from 1 species